rnacentral:rRNA from 1 species
GACAGAGGGUGCGAACGUUGUUCGGAAUUACUGGGCGUAAAGCGCGUGUAGGCGGCAACGCAAGUCGGGCGUGAAAUCCCACGGCUCAACCGUGGAAGUGCACUCGAAACUGCGUAGCUAGAGUCCUGGAGAGGAAGGUGGAAUGCUUGGUGUAGAGGUGAAAUUCGUAGAUAUCAAGCGGAACACCGGUGGCGAAGGCGACCUUCUGGACAGUGACUGACGCUGAGACGCGAAAGCGUGGGGAGCAAACGGG